rfam:Loxodonta africana unplaced genomic scaffold scaffold_68, whole genome shotgun sequence.
AAAAUGACAGAAUGACAGGGAAUUAUGAAGAGAUUGGAGAGUAGAAAAAAUGUGAACUGAUACCUCAAAAUGAUAAGAAGGACAUAUAAAGAAAAAAAAUACAAAUGAAAAAUAUAGGCUAAUGGAUUAACAUCUCAAUUGUGUGGCAUUUACUU